rnacentral:rRNA from 1 species
GCUUGACCUCGGAUCAGGUGGGGGUACCCGCUGAACUUAAGCAUAUCAAUAAGCGGAGGAAGAGAAACCAACCGGGAUUG